rnacentral:tRNA from 1 species
AGGGAGCUAGUCCAAGGCAAAGACCUCUGAUUUCGGCUCAGAAAAUCGUGACUAAAUUUCGCGGCCCCCUU